GGCCUGGUGGUGUACGGGUAUCACACGCGCUAUCGAUUUGAAGAAGGUCAGCGGAGGGUCCCGUUCGAUUCGGGGUUGGGCCA